rnacentral:rRNA from 1 species
GAUGAACGCUGGCGGCGUGCCUAAUACAUGCGAGUCGAGCGAACGGACGAGAAGCUUGCUUCUCUGAUGUUAGCGGCGGACGGGUGAGUAACACGUGGAUAACCUACCUAUAAGACUGGGAUAACUUCGGGAAACCGGAGCUAAUACCGGAUGAUAUUUUGAACCGCAUGGUUCAAAAGUGAAAGACGGUCUUGCUGUCACUUAUAGAUGGAUCCGCGCUGCAUUAGCUAGUUGGUAAGGUAACGGCUUACCAAGGCAACGAUGCAUAGCCGACCUGAGAGGGUGAUCGGCCACACUGGAACUGAGACACGGUCCAGACUCCUACGGGAGGCAGCAGUAGGGAAUCUUCCGCAAUGGGCGAAAGCCUGACGGAGCGACGCCGCGUGAGUGAUGAAGGUCUUCGGAUCGUAAAACUCUGUUAUUAGGGAAGAACAUAUGUGUAAGUAACUGUGCACAUCUUGACGGUACCUAAUCAGAAAGCCACGGCUAACUACGUG